rnacentral:rRNA from 1 species
UACGUAGGGUGCAAGCGUUGUCCGGAAUUAUUGGGCGUAAAGAGCUCGUAGGCGGUCUGUCGCGUCUGCUGUGAAAACUCGGGGCCUAACCCCGGGCCUGCAGUGGGUACGGGCAGACUAGAGUGCGGUAGGGGAGACUGGAAUUCCUGGUGUAGCGGUGAAAUGCGCAGAUAUCAGGAGGAACACCGGUGGCGAAGGCGGGUCUCUGGGCCGUAACUGACGCUGAGGAGCGAAAGCAUGGGGAGCGAACAGG